rnacentral:rRNA from 1 species
AGCAGCCGCGGUAAUUCCAGCUCCAAUAGCGUAUAUUAAAGUUGUUGCAGUUAAAAAGCUCGUAGUUGAAUUUCGGGAUCAAUACGUCGGUCGUGCCUCUGGUAUGUACUGGUGUUAUUGAUUUCUCCUUUCUGAGGAACCAUGAUGUCAUUAAUUUGGUGUCGUGGGAAAUCAGGACUGUUACUUUGAAAAAUUAGAGUGUUUAAAGCAGGCAUACGCUUGAAUACAUUAGCAUGGAAUAAUGAAAUAGGACGUUCGAACCUAUUUUGUUGGUUUCUAGGAUCAACGUAAUGAUUAAUAGGGAUAGUUGGGGGCAUUAGUAUUCAAUUGUCAGAGGUGAAAUUCUU